rnacentral:rRNA from 1 species
GACGAACGCUGGCGGCGUGCCUAAUACAUGCAAGUCGAACGCAUUUUCUUUCACCGUAGCUUGCUACACCGAAAGAAAAUGAGUGGCGAACGGGUGAGUAACACGUGUGUAACCUGCCCAUCAGCGGGGGAUAACACUUGGAAACAGGUGCUAAUACCGCAUAAUUCCAUUUACCGCAUGGUAAAUGGAUGAAAGGCGCUUUUGCGUCACUGAUGGAUGGACCCGCGGUGCAUUAGCUAGUUGGUGGGGUAACGGCCUACCAAGGCUGCGAUGCAUAGCCGACCUGAGAGGGUGAGCGGCCACACUGGGACUGAGACACGGCCCAGACUCCUACGGGAGGCAGCAGUAGGGAAUCUUCGGCAAUGGACGCAAGUCUGACCGAGCAACGCCGCGUGAUUGAAGAAGGUUUUCGGAUCGUAAAACUCUGUUGUUAGAGAAGAAAAAGGAUGAGAGUGGAAAGUUCAUCCCUUGACGGUAUCUAACCAGAAAGCCACGGCUAACUACGUG